GUCUACAGCCAUAGCACCCUGAACGCGCCUGAUCUCGUCUGAUCUCGGAAGCUAAGCAGGGUCGGGCCUGGUUAGUACUUGGAUGGGAGAAUUUUCUAAGUGUUUCUUAUUUGUAAAUC
rnacentral:rRNA from 1 species